rnacentral:rRNA from 1 species
CAGUAGCCGCGAGAAUACGAAGGUCCCGAGCGUUGUUCGGAAUCACUGGGCGUAAAGGGAGCGUAGGCGGCGUGGUAAGUCAAAUGUGAAAUCCCGGGGCUCAACCCCGGAACUGCAUCCGAUACUGCCGUGCUAGAGGAUUGGAGAGGUAGCUGGAAUUCUUGGUGUAGCAGUGAAAUGCGUGGAGAUCAAGAGGAACACUCGUGGCGAAAGCGAGCUACUGGACAAUAUCUGACGCUGAGGCUCGAAGGCCAGGGUAGCGAAAGGGAUUAGAUACCCGCGUAGUCCCUGUCUCUUAUAA